CCUACGGGAGGCAGCAGUGGGGGAUAUUGGACAAUGGGGGAAACCCUGAUCCAGCGACGCCGCGUGAAUGAAGAAGUAUUUCGGUAUGUAAAGCUCUAUCAGCAGGGAGGAAAGAAAUGACAGUACCUGAGUACGAAGACCAGGCUAACGACGUGCAAGCAGCCGCGGUAAUACGUCGGGGGCAAGCGUUAUCCGGAAUUACUGGGUGUAAAGGGAGCGUAGACGGUAAUGCAAGUCUGGAGUGAAAGGCGGGGGCCCACCCCCCGGACUGCUCUGGAAACUGUGUAACUGGAGUGCAGGAGAGGUAGGCGGAAUUUCUGGUGUAGCGGUGAAAUGCGUAGAUAUUA
rnacentral:rRNA from 1 species